rnacentral:tRNA from 1 species
ACAGCUAUAGCUCAGUGGUACAGUGCUUGUCUACCAUGCAUGAGAUCCUGGGUUUGAUUCCCAGAACUGAA